CAAAUUUAGAUAAAAUGUCAAAUCAAUUGGCUUUAUGAUCAUUGGUAUGACCACCAGUAGUUUGUAUACAAAGAGUUUAACAGCUUACAUAAGAGCCCCCAACCCUCCUCAAUAUGGGUAGCUUUAAUUGUUAAUUGCUUUUAUUUUAAAAAAAAUAUUACAUUCAGAGAAAUAGCAAUAUUGAAAUGUAUGAUUUGUAGAACUGUUUCAGCAUUCUUAGAACUUCUUAGGGCUAGGCCCCUUUUUUCUCAAUUUCCGCCUGAAUGACAUGCCCAAGGUAAACUGUAUGUUGCUCAGGUCCUGAAGCCAGAAUAUGCAUAUAAUUGGUACCAUUGGAAAGAAAACACAUGGACGUUGUAGAAAUGUUAAAAUAAUGUAGGAGAAUAUAACACAAUAGAUAUGGUAGGAGAAAAUCCAAAGAAAAACCAACCAGAAUUUUUUGUUGUUGAGCGAGAUCAUGCUCUUACAAUGGAAAGUAUAGGGGCAUACUGAAUUCUAGCUCCCAUAGGGUGUCAGCAGUCUAUGUUCAAGGUUUCAGGCUUGUAACUUCCAAAACGAAUAAGAAAUAUCAGUUUUAGUAAAGGGACACAGUCUUGGAUAUUCAUGUUUGGGCGCGCCAUGAAGACAAGUCGCACCUGCUAAAAUCGGUUUCCUAUUGAACAUACUUCUUUCCAUAAGAAAUAUUAGAGCUUGAUAACAUUUAAGGCGCUCUGGAUAAGAGCGUCUGCUAAAUGACUUAAAUGUAAAUGUAAAUGUAAGGGUAUCCGAGGAGUAAAUAGAAACGUAUUUUGACUUGUUGAAACAAAGUUUAGAUUUUCGGAUUUCUUUCUCUGCAUGUUGAACGAGUGGAUUACUCAAAUCGAUGGCGCAAAGUAAACAGACUUUUUGGGAUAUGAAGAAGAAUUUUAUCUAACAAAACAAUACUACAUGUUGUAGCUGGGACCCUUUAGAUGACAAAUUGGAGGAUAAUUUUCAAGAAACAACUGGAUUCACUCUUUCCCCUCCUGCUCAUGCUUGAUCUGAAUGGGGAUGACCAUGUCACUGGGGAGGAUGGUGGUAGCUGAGCCUGGUAGAGGUGCUUCUACUAAGAGAACCCCUUCACCAGACAGAGAUGAGCUGAUGUGCUGCAAGUGCACACCAGGGGGCAGCCUUCAACAAACAAACAACAACCAUUUGCUUACAACACAGACAGGCUACAAUGUGUUUACUGUGGUUCAAAUGGCUGCAUGUCAUCUGUUUUGAAAAAUGUCAUUAAACCGUGGGAAAUUA